AAAGCAAUCUGCAGCCCUCUUGGCUAGUGGAAGUAAAGAAUGCAGAAGCCAGCAGGGAAGCAGCAUCCGCUGAGGCUCACAGCCACCUGUGUGCUACCUGCCCAAGACUGGUGUCCCCAGCGUGAUGAAAUAGCUCAGGAAGCCCAGAGGACCACAGGUGGUACUGGCUCUUCUCAGGUCCCUGGAAGACAGCGUAACCUUUAGGCCAGGCCACAAGCCUCUCCUGCAUCUGUCCAGUGGUCUCCGGUCUCCACCCAGGUUUCCUGGGGACCGAAACAGGACACCUUCCCUUCUCCCCAGGUGCGGAUCUUCUGCUGAAAGGGCAGCCGUUCCUUCCACGCACUUCCCCACCCAUCCACACCCACUUCAAUGACACCACCCCAGACGCUGUGGGUCUGGGGAGAUGUGGGCGAGCAUGGCAGGGGCAUUCGCCUGGCAGUGCCCGCCUGAUGUUCCGCCGUGCCCAGAGGAGGCGCCACAGCAUAGUUGAGCAGCGCCAGCAGCUGGUGGCCUCGACCCUGAGACUUCUGAAUCCCCGAACCUUGGGGACCCUGAAGCUCCCGCCGCAGCCCGCGCCCGCUCGGCUUCGGGAUUUUUUGUCUAUAUAAGGGCUCGAGGCACUUGGAGCGCCGGCUGGCACCGGCUGCCAUUUCUCCGCACCCGCCUGCGGUCCCUGGGUAACCUCACUCGCCCUCCUCCCGCCUCCUCCUCCUCCUCCUCCCGUCCUCCCCGGGAGCACCGCCUUUACCUGACUCUGACACCCGGUGCGCACCGCCGCUCUCCCGGUCCCCCCGCCCAGCAGCAGCCGCCCGGCCUCGCUGUCAUCCGCUGAAUGGAAUUAUUUAUUUAUUUAUGUCCCCUGACGUGUCCUCCCCUACCGAGGCCCGGGAGAGGGGUGCGGGAGCAGAGGCGGGCUGGGGUGCCCGGGAGCGCGCCUGGGUGCGGUGAGGGGGUGGACGCGGGAGCGGGGUGCGGGCUGGGGGCGCGAGGAAGGGAGGCGCACUGAGCAUGCUCCUGAGGGCUCAGCGGUUGGCGCUGGUCUGCGCGGGUUCUGUGGCUCCCGGCACUCCAUUUCGGAUUUUAGUUCUGACCCGGAGCGAUCUGCUGUGGCUGGGCAGCCCAGACUUGCUCCGGCCUAGCGCUUUGGCGCCCAACCUGAGGAGGCAGGUGUGAGGUGGCCUGAGAGACCUAGGCUGUUAUGCAAUGUCUAGAUAAGGAUGCAGAGAGGAGCCUGCAGAAUGCAGAGAAAAGAGCUACGACAGAAAAGGCUGCGUGACUCAUCCAUCCAUCCAUCCAUCCAUCCAGUCGUUCGUUAUUCAUUCAGUUAAGGACUUCCGUUAGGAAUGAGUGCUGGCUUGAUUGAGGAUAGAGAAAGGUGUGCUGUAGGAGCACCAGAGACAAAUCCUUCCAAGAAAAACGUAAAACUUACAAGCAUGGAAAACAGCUCAAAACACUGAAAGUGUAGAAGUUGCGGGCAGUGGUUGGUUAUCAAUUGUAAAUAAUUUAUGUCACUCACAUUAUUUAAGUUUCACGACGGGAUUUAGUUAUUUAAGCAAGAAUAACACUAAGGACUAUGGUAAACCCCACAGAUGUUGAGUUGGCCUUUUUUUUCACCCUAACAUGCCCUUCUUGGGGAAGUUGAAAAGAGGAAGGAAGGGUUGGAACUGAAGGGUUGGACAACUCGAAGACUGACAUCUCUACUUAGAGAAAAACCUUGUGGCACUAUAUGUGCUUGAAUUUGAGAGCAAGGCUACAAUUUUCUGCCCAUUUAAUUGGCCUUUCCUGUCCUGAUCAUCAUGAUGCGAUACUCCAUUAGAUUCGGUCACUGUUACUCAUGUUACACACAUUUGGAGACCGAGGCAGUAAGGUGGGAUCACUUGGGUACACAUUCAGGACGUCUUACUAUGUCUCCUCUAGGCAGUCUGCAGGGCAGAAUUUUAAUAUCAAUUUCUGCCAUUACAAAAGAGGGAACUGUUUUCAUAAGAUUUGAGCGCGACAAUAUGUGUAGUGAACAGAAGAUAAUUUGAGAGGCUGUUAACUUCAAAACGGCUCAGCCAAAAAGUUCUGUGGCUAAAGAUGUUUGCCACCAAGCCUGGUGACCCGAGUUCAAACCCCAGAAUCUACAUGGCAGAGCAGACCUACACUUGUAAGCUGUCCUCUGACUUCCACACACCUGGCAAACAAGACCAGUUGCGUACACACACACACACACACACACACACACACACACACUUAAGUGCACGCACAAGCACACACCCUAACAAUGAUGAAUGUUAAAUGUUUCUAAGAACGUUAAUAGUCCAAAAGGAAAACUUGAGGCAGGAUAUUCUAGAAAACCCAUUUUUACAAGGGGGGGGGGAGGGAACAAAACAGUAUAAAUGAAUAAUUGUGGAAGAUAAGAAUUGAGUACCUAACAAAGAUUAUAAAUGUCUUUAUUUUAUUGGCACUAAAGAGUAAUAAACGUUUAAA
rnacentral:lncRNA from 1 species